rnacentral:rRNA from 1 species
UGGGAACAUGCCCCAAAGUGAGGGAUAACGCACCGAAAGGUGUGCUAAUACCGCAUAUGGUCUUCGGAUUAAAGGAUUUAUCCGCUUUGGGAGUGGCCCGCGUACGAUUAGAUUGUUGGUGAGGUAACGGCUCACCAAGUCGACGAUCGUUAACUGGUCUGAGAGGAUGAUCAGUCAGACUGGAACUGAGACACGGUCCAGACUCCUACGGGAGGCAGCAGUAAGGAAUCUUCCACAAUGGGCGAAAGCCUGAUGGAGCAACGCCGCGUGCAGGAUGAAGGCCCUCGGGUCGUAAACUGCUUUUAUGAGUGAAGAAUAUGACGGUAACUCAUGAAUAAGCACCGGCUAACUACGUGCCAGCAGCCGCGGUCAUACGUAGGGUGCAAGCAUUAUCCGGAGUGACUGGGCGUAAAGAGUUGCGUAGGCGGCAUAGUAAGCAGAUAGUGAAAGCGUGUGGCUCAACCAUACUCACAUUAUCUGAACUGCUAAGCUAGAGGACGAGAGAGGUCACUGGAAUUCCUAGUGUAGGAGUGAAAUCCGUAGAUAUUAGGAGGAACACCAAUGGCGUAGGCAGGUGACUGGCUCGUUCCUGACGCUCAGGCACGAAAGCGUGGGGAGCAAACGGGAUUAGAUACCCCGGUAGUCCACGCCGUAAACGAUGGAUGCUAGCUGUUAGAGGUAUCGACCCCUCUAGUAGCGAAGCUAACGCGUUAAGCAUCCCGCCUGUGGAGUACGGUCG